rnacentral:rRNA from 1 species
AUUGAACGCUGGCGGCAUGCCUAACACAUGCAAGUCGAACGGCAGCACAGCCGUAGCAAUACGGUGGGUGGCGAGUGGCGGACGGGUGAGGAAUGCAUCGGAAUCUGCCCGAUCGUGGGGGAUAACGCAUCGAAAGGUGCGCUAAUACCGCAUGAGAUCGAGAGAUGAAAGCGGGGGACCGCAAGGCCUCGCGCGAUCGGAUGAGCCGAUGCCGGAUUAGCUAGUUGGCGGGGUAAAGGCCCACCAAGGCGACGAUCCGUAGCUGGUCUGAGAGGAUGACGAGCCAGACUGGGACUGAGACACGGCCCAGACUCCUACGGGAGGGAGCAGUGGGGAAUAUUGGACAAUGGGCGCAAGCCUGAUCCAGCAAUGCCGCGUGUGUGAAGAAGGCCUUCGGGUUGUAAAGCACUUUUAUCGGGAGCGAAAAGCGGACGGUGAAUACCCGUCCGUGCUGACGGUACCCGAGGAAUAAGCACCGGCUAACUUCGUGCCAGCCGCCGCGGUAACAC